AAAUAAAAUCUAGCCUACUUUCUCCUUAUAGAUUCUUGUACCUGAGAAACAGUGUCUCAAGAAUACCGAACAUAAGUAAAUGGGUGGCACAAGUGUCGAGUGGUCUUUCUAAAACCCAAAAGUGUGAAGCAGCAUUGUGCACACUGCAAAUGAGAUACAGCCUUGAUACCCUAAAAAGUCCAUAUACCAACUGACAGGCACACUUUGGUAGCACUUUAGCUUGAGACUGCAGGCAACGUUUAUAAAUCAAGAGUAAUCAAUACAAAACCCGACAAAAGUCUGAGAAUCCAUACUAGUCUAGAUCUCCUAAGCCACAAUUGUUUGCCAGUCUCCUGUCUCUUAUAUAUAGUUUCCAAUACUGGCGAAGUGGGAAAGAGGAGAUGGAGAGUAAGAGUCCCUCUGGAGAAUACUGCCUCUCAACUGUAUGCACAGAUUAAGUUUCUAUAACACUGAUUACACAAGCAAUGAAAAUAAAAAGUUGAAGUCGUUAGUUCAGCUUCACUAGAGAUAUCGUAGCUUCUAGCCCAAAAGAGAAGCUGGAUGAAUGAGUAAAAUAAACACACAAAGAGGCAUGGAAUCAGUUGCUCAGCAAUACUCACUUAGGCAUAUCUACUGAGUAAAAUAGCCUCAGCAUUUUGGUUGCAACAUUUCUCAAAGAUAUACUAACUAAAAACUGCUAGAGAGUAGUUUUCAUGCAUAUUUGAGGUCAGAGGUGCUAAAUUUAAGAUGCAAAAAAGAGAUCCAACCAAUUUCAUAGUAACUUGUAUUUUCAGUACGCUCGUCAUGUAUUCAGCUCUUUAGAAUUCGAUUCCAGACAUUUAUUUUCCCUCUAUUUUCAGAAGCACCUGUUUCAACUAUCCUUUUCCAAUUUUAAAGAAUUUACCUAUUCAUUUUCUGAUCUCUACAAAAGGUAUUUUUCAUUAAAAAUGUAGAUAUCUGAUUGCUAGGAUAAUAUAGGAUAGAAUAUGCUUCCGUUCUGUCACAAUUUAAGUAAAAUCCGUAAUAAGUUCAUUAGGAAUUUCCUAUUAUGUUACUGAACAUGAAAAAUAAUUGAACAAUAGUGCACCUGAUGCUACAGUCUUCGCUUAACUUCAUUAAUUGCUCAUUCACUUCAGGAAACUCUGUAGCCAUUAAUCGGGUGCUUGAAUGCUUAAUUUUUAUUUUGGAAAGAAAAUAAGAAAAUGCUCAGGGAGAACUGAAACAUUUUAUUACUGCAUCCUCCCUUUACUAUUGCAAUUAUCUAAGCCCCCUCUAGGAUCUCAAGUUAGGGGAUUUGCUCUAUAACUGAUCACCCAUGUCAAAAAUUUUCCUAUUAAAUCCUAGGAGAGAUCUGUUGUCAGAAUUCUAGCAAUCCAUAGGAUCCCAGAGGGUCCUGUAAUGAGAUGAGUAUUGCUGGCAAAGUCUCAUGUCCUGAAAAGAAGAGUUAGAGUGGAUAGGUAAAAACAACAAAAUGGAUUACAAAUGAUUAAUUUCCUAUUAAUUUUCAAAUUGGUAAUUCUUUCAUCCAUCCCUCUGCAGUGGAGCUUCUUACACAGGUAAUGUAAGCAGAAAUUUAACUUUUAAGCAUAGCUUUAAGCACCAGGGUUCAAGCAAUAAGCUCACUGCAGAGGCAAAACUGAAUGUAAUUUCUACUUCUUCAGUAACCCACUUCAAAGUCCAAGUGGAUCUAUUGAAUUACAUCCUUUGUGCAGAAGAUCGUUUAACAUGCCUUCAAGGUCCAUUUUAAGGCAGCCAAAUGUUUCAAUCAAAAAGGGGAGAAAGUUAAAUGGAACUGAAAAUGUAAAAUUAUUUAAGAAGUUAAAGAACAGAAUAAGGCACACAAUUUUAAAAGAAUUUUGGUAAAGGAAAAUAUAUCGAUGCACGUCAAAGAAAAUACAUACUUGGCAAAAGAUAAAAUGAAGCUAAGCUGGCAAGGGAGGCAAAGAUCAAGGCACCCAAUAAAGAGGACAGAAUGAACACUGUCACUCCAACUGCAGGGUUUGAAAGUUACAACAUGCCAGGGGGAGGACUACAGGGUUUCUGCUGUGGUGAGGAAGACCCAAGUAGAGACAAAACCAAUAGGGUAAAAAGUACGGCGGAAAAUUUCACAAUGAAAUGGUCUUAAAAUUUUGCUUUGGGGAGUGAGAGCAGGUCAGUAAACACUUUGGCUCACACCAAGGGAGGAGCAACGAUGUUAAGCCUUCCACCCACAGCCCAUCAAAUAUCCAAACGCAGAUGAGUGUGCCUACAGCUAUUCUGGACGACAACUUCUAAGGCAUACAACUGCCACCACGGUUGAGGGCAAUGUAUUGUAGUCCACGCCCCUAUUUGCUUUUGAAUCAGCUGCUGGACUUUGAUUUUAGACACUCCAUUUCAGGGAGGAAAAAAAAAAUCAGCAUUUGAAGCUUCAGCACAAGAUUUUUGGGGGAAGAAAUAGUUCAGAGAGAAGCAAGAUCAGAAAUUGGAAGGAAGCAAAAAAUAAAUGAGAUAAGUUGGAUAGAAAAUAUUACAAGGCUUCC